AUUGAACGCUGGCGGCAGGCCUAACACAUGCAAGUCGAGCGGAUGAAGGGAGCUUGCUCCUGGAUUCAGCGGCGGACGGGUGAGUAAUGCCUAGGAAUCUGCCUGGUAGUGGGGGAUAACGUCCGGAAACGGGCGCUAAUACCGCAUACGUCCUGAGGGAGAAAGUGGGGGAUCUUCGGACCUCACGCUAUCAGAUGAGCCUAGGUCGGAUUAGCUAGUUGGUGGGGUAAAGGCCUACCAAGGCGACGACCCGUAACUGGUCUGAGAGGAUGAUCAGUCACACUGGAACUGAGACACGGUCCAGACUCCUACGGGAGGCAGCAGUGGGGAAUAUUGGACAAUGGGCGAAAGCCUGAUUCAGCCAUGCCGCGUGUGUGAAGAAGGUCUUCGGAUUGUAAAGCACUUUAAGUUGGGAGGAAGGGCAGUAAGUUAAUACCUUGCUGAUUUGACGUUACCAACAGAAUAAGCACCGGCUAACUUCGUG
rnacentral:rRNA from 1 species